rnacentral:misc_RNA from 1 species
UGGAUUUAACUUGAAAUUUAAGGCAAACACUUUAGGUUAUAUAAUUUUAAUUCAUUUUAUCUAUGGGCUACACAUAUAUCAUGAAAGAUGCCCUUUUCCCACCUCAGAUGUAUAUUAUGUUGUUGGUAUAAGAUCCAAAAACAAAUUUAUUUGAAUCUAAAUUUAAAGCAAUUAUCCUAACGAUGAAAACUGUAAAUUUAAAAGAAAAAUAAAUGGAGAAAAGAAAGAAAAACUCUUUUGGUCUUCAAAAAUCGGGUGAUUGCUCCCCAAAUCUUCCAAGUAUCCAAGAGCUUUUCCUUGGGACCUUUUAUUUGUGGCUGAUUUUUGGUGUCUCAGCCAAAAGAUGUUUUGAGCUGAUGAAAGAUAUGUUUACAUACCCUAGAAAGUGGUCCCAGCCUCCAAAAUUCCCAAAACACAAAUUUGGCUGGUGAAACACAAAAACAACGCCACCCUUCGUAGUUGACACGCCCUUGCCCAUGUGACUAGCAGACUGGUGGUAUUUCAUGCCUUUGGCAUCAUUCCCGCAUAGAACACGCCCUUGAGCAUGUCUCUUUCCAUGACACACCCUUGGGCAUGUUUUUUUGCUGCCAGCUUUCUUUUUCGCGUCUUCAACAUCCAAUUACACAGCUGCAUGGCACUUACAAAACAUGGCCCAAAACUUGAAGAACAUGGCCUCUGCAUGUAUUAUCAUCUUUGCAUUUUCUAUUUCUUUGUUCUUCUUUUCAUACCAAUUAAAAUAUGAAACAUGGUCCAAUGAAGAAAUCAGUGCUUUGCUUGAUAAUUUGCCCUUGAACUUGUCAUUUACUGCAUGCAUAUUG